GCGAGGUCCUAACUCCAAAGCACCAGACUACGAAUCUGAGGGUCGGACGUUCGAAUCGUUCCGGGCGCGCCA
rnacentral:tRNA from 1 species